rnacentral:rRNA from 1 species
GAUGAACGCUGGCGGCGUGCCUAACACAUGCAAGUCGAACGAAGCGCUUUGAAGUUUUCGGACAGAUGAGUGACUGAGUGGCGGACGGGUGAGUAACGCGUGGGUAACCUGCCUCAUACAGGGGGAUAACAGUUAGAAAUGACUGCUAAUACCGCAUAAGCGCACAGUACCGCAUGGUACAGUGUGAAAAACUCCGGUGGUAUGAGAUGGACCUGCGUCUGAUUAGCUAGUUGGUGAGGUAACGGCCCACCAAGGCGACGAUCAGUAGCCGACCUGAGAGGGUGACCGGCCACAUUGGGACUGAGACACGGCCCAAACGUCCUACGGGAGCAGCAGU